rnacentral:lncRNA from 1 species
GUGAGCUGAGAUCGAGCCACUGCACCCCAGCCUGGGCGACAGGACGCCAGUGAGAUGCCUCUGGCCAAAUCCCACGGGAGUGGUUCCCUGGCAUCACGCGUCCAGGCUCCGCCCCGGCCCUUCUCGCGGCUCCCAUUGGCUCGGCCGCGGACUCCUGGGGCGCCGACACCUCCUACUGGCCGCCGCGGCGAGGUCAGGGAGCAGGGCACUGGCCAGUCCCAGCUGAGUUGGGAGGUGUCGGGGACGCAAGUGACUUCACAGAGCACAAUGUCAUAACCUUAAGUAACACCAGACAACUUUUCCUAAAGUGGGGAUAAGAUAGGCUUGCUCUGUAGGCUGCAGGUCUUAAGCACCUGCGGCGGCAUCUGAUCGCGCGGAUUCGAGUCCCCUCCGCCCCUGAGUCGUGGCGUGGCUUCCAGGAGACUGAAGAGAUAUACUUGUCAUGAAUGGAUUGCAAACAUAACCUUCAAGAGCCAAGAUCUUGCUGUAUCGUCCAGGCU